rnacentral:rRNA from 1 species
UGAGUACGAGAUGCUACGGCAUCGAAGCAGUCUAUGUCAUACUUCCAAGAAAAGCUUGCACUGUCAGAAACAGAUAAUGCCUGUACCAUAACCGACACAGGUGGGUAGGUAGAGUAUACUAAGGGGCGCGAGAUAACUCUCUCUAAGGAACUCGGCAAAAUGACUCCGUAACUUCGGGAGAAGGAGUGCCUUAUUUUUAAGGUUGCAAUAACAAGAUCCAAGCAACUGUUUACCAAAAACACAGGUCUCCGCUAAGUCGUAAGACGAUGUAUGGGGGCUGACGCCUGCCCAGUGCCAGAAGGUUAAAGAAGUCGGUUAGCAUUCGCGAAGCUGGUAACUGAAGCCCUGGUGAACGGCGGCCGUAACUAUAACGGUCCUAAGGUAGCGAAAUUCCUUGUCGGGUAAGUUCCGACCCGCACGAAAGGCGUAAUGAUUUGGAUACUGUCUCGGAGAGGGGCUCGGUGAAAUAGACUUGUCUGUGAAGAUGCGGACUACCUGCACCUGGACAAAAAGACCCUAUGAAGCUUUACUGUAACUUGAAAUUGAAAUUGGACUUUAUUUGCGCAGUAUAGGUGGGAGGCGUUGAAAAUAUUCUUGCGGGAAUAUUGGAGCCAUCAGUGAGAUACCACUCUUGUAAUGUUAGAUUUCUAACUUUAUAUCAUUAUCUGGUUAAAGAACAGUUUCAGGCGGGCAGUUUGACUGGGGCGGUCGCCUCCCAAAUGGUAACGGAGGCGCACAAAGGUUUCCUCUGAACGGGUAGAAAUCGUAUCUAGAGUGUAAAGGCAUAAGGAAGCUUGACUGUGAGACCUACAAGUCGAGCAGGGACGAAAGUCGGUCUUAGUGAUCUGACGGUGCUGAGUGGAAAGGCCGUCACUCAACGGAUAAAAGUUACUCUAGGAUAACAGGCUGAUCUCCCCCAAGAGUUCACAUCGACGGGGAGGUUUGGCACCUCGAUGUCGGCUCAUCGCAUCCUGGGGCGGUAGCACGUCCCAAGGGUUGGGCUGUUCGCCCAUGAAAGCGGUACGCGAGCUGGGUUCAGAACGUCGUGAGACAGUUCGGUCCAUAUCCGGUGUAGGCGUUAGAAUAUUGAGAGGAGCCUUCUUUAGUACGAGAGGACCGAGAAGGACAUACCUCUGGUGUACCAGUUAUCGUGCCAACGGUAAACGCUGGGUAGCUAUGUAUGGAGUGGAUAACCGCUGAAAGCAUCUAAGUGGGAAGCCCACCUCAAGAUAAGUAUUCUCAC